GACAGAGGUGCCGAGCGUUAGGCGGAAUCACUGGGCUUAAAGCGUGUGUAGGCGGAUCUGUAAGUACCUUGUGAAAUCCCACGGCUCAACCGUGGAACUGCUUGGUAUACUGCGGGUCUUGAGCCACCUAGGGGCAAGUGGAACAAGCGGUGGAGCGGUGAAAUGCGUAGAUAUCGCUUGGAACGCCAAUGGUGAAAACAACUUGCUGGGGUGUGACUGACGCUGAGACACGAAAGCCAGGGGAGCAAACAGG
rnacentral:rRNA from 1 species